UGAAAGACAUGGGUAGUGAGACGUUAGAAUUUCAAGGUCGUAUCACUAUUCUGUUUUUC
rnacentral:pre_miRNA from 10 species